CCCGGAAUCCCCACGGGGUUAACGGGACACAGGAAUCAGUGCAGUUGAUGAUCAUUGUGAUGCCGGAACUACCCCCAGGCAGUGCCGCAGACUUUGUACACGAGUUGUGUCACACCCAGGGAGAGUGAUGGGUGGAGGUGUCAGCUCAUUGAAAGGAGUGCUGAUUUGAUAUCACUGUUGAUUCACGCGAUUUUUUGGUUUGGUUUCUGAUUGUAUUCAUCGGUUGCUGGUAGCAAGUAACGAUUGGAAGCUGCGCAAUGAAGAACCUAUAUACAGCUUUGGUUAUUGCCAUGUGUGUUACCACAGUGACAUCGUUGUGGUUAAGGAGUACAACAAAACUUGUCACAACUAACACUAGAUUGGCGAAAAGGAUCAAAACAAGGGCAAGAAGAAUUAGAACGGUCUUUGUUAAAUCACUCCCAAACGGUCGUGAUGCAUCGAUACCAAGUUAUACAGAGACUGACAGCUUUGAAGACGGGAUCCAGAAUUUCAGAUGAAGACUGCCUCCCUAUCAGCUAUGUCAAGUGGCGAUUCGUUUCCCCAUUGAUGUAAACUUUGCAAUUGUUCCUGAAUAAAACAAAUUUGAUUCAA